rnacentral:misc_RNA from 1 species
AACGCAAAUUGCGCUCGAGGCUUCGGCCAAGAGCAUGUCUGCCUCAGCGUCGGGUUAUUACCAACAUUUGAACUCCAUCCAGGGUCAACAUGUGGUUCUGCUUGUCUCGGUUUAUUUUAAUUAAUUAAACGAGUCAGCUGAAGUGCAGAUGUCAAGGCAUGGACCGUUAAAUCGGGCCUCUACUGGGUAGGCAACUUGUUUGCUGUAUUGCUUUAGUAGAUGGCUUGGGUACUGUCUUUGGCACGAAGCAGGAGUAUCUGUUCAUACAGGUACAACCAAUACCAUUUUCUCGACCUGAGCUCAGGCAAGAUUACCCGCUGAACUUAA